UACCAGCUCUUCGAGUGGUGUGGAUGUUUAUUGGGCCUAAAGCAUCCGUAGCUGGCUGGGCAAGUCCCCUGUUAAAUCCACCGAUUUAAUCGUUGGAGUGCGGGGGAUACUGUUCGGCUAGGGGACGGGAGAGGCAGACGGUAUUUUCGGGGUAGGGGUGAAAUCCUAUAAUCCCGGGAAGACCACCAGUGGCGAAGGCUGUCUGCUAGAACGCGCCCGACGGUGAGGGAUGAAAGCUGGGGGGAGCGAACCGGAUUAGAUACCCGGGUAGUCCCAGCUGUAAACGAUGCAGGCUAGGUGUUUGGGCGGCCACGUGCCGCUCUAGUGCCGCAGGGAAGCCGUUAAGCCUGCCGCCUGGGGAGUACGGCCGCAAGGCUGAAACUUAAAGGAAUUGGCGGGGGAGCACCACAAGGGGUGAAGCUUGCGGUUU
rnacentral:rRNA from 1 species